ACCUGUAAUAAUCCAUCUGAAGAGGUCGCCGGGCAGCGCCUCGGCAGACAGACUGACCUGCGGGGAGGUGCGGUUUCCAGUGGCGCGGGACAGCCGGCUCCGAGAAGGAACUGGGACCUUUGCCUAGGGCAAGACGUCAACAGGAACCCGCAGGCCCGGCCUGGACACCUGCUGCCCUCACUGGAAGCUUUAACUCCCACUCGAGUCUCUUGGCGUCGUCAGUGCCAGGAGCGCUUGGAUUGGGAUGGGGACGGAGAAGGGUGCCUCGCUCGCCGAGCCCCGCUGCCCUUGGGGACCUGGCAAAGUCGAGGUUUCCUCACAGCGUUGAGAUUGAGACUGGGGGUCGGCAGCACUGAGAAGUGAAGGAAUAUUUGGGAGGAUCAGAAGCUUGGUCCUGAUUUUGCCAUCAACAGGAACUUGAUGACUUCAAGGGAGUCCCCAAACCCUGGGUUUCUGUUUUCUCAACUCUAACAUGAGGGGCUAGAUGCAUCUGGUUUAGUUAGUCUCCAUGAUGGUUUAGUUCGUCUCCAUGAUCCUGUGAAUUUCAGAUGUUGAAAAUCUUCGGAAAAGCCCUGAAAGAUGAACAGUGGUCUCAAAUAGUCAAGACCCCCUGCUGGGAGGAGCUUCUAUCCUGCUCUGUGGAAGAAAUGGGCAUGCCAGAUGCCUGGAAGAUCAGAGGCUCACAUUCCAGUUCAAAGUUAGAGAAACCUGAGAGGGGUGUACUGGUAUGACCACCCGAGAUCCCAUCGCUGAGAAAGAUAAUGGCCCUGGAGACAAAGACUGAUGAAGAAAGACAGUAUCCAGCUGUGAUGCAGAUGAAACAUGCGGCAUGGUUGCACUCACUAUGCAGCCAAGGCUGGAAGCCACUCUGGAUCCAGCCACUCUGGCACAGCGUUCUUGCUCUAGGAAGAACAACUGAACAUGGCCACACAGGCCUCACAGCUGGCAUAUGGAGGCUGUUAAUAAGCUGAGCUUGAGGCUUCAAAGGACUCUUGUAGCCUGUGCUGGAUCUAGCAGUGACCAGUAUGCCAGUGGCCAUGGAUGCCCAGGCCCAUGUUCAGUAGUGAAGCAGGUGCUAGCAGCAGAAGCAAUAGAAAUGGAAACUGGGAGAUCUGCUGUGGAUGAAUCUCAUUAUCUUCUUUCUCUGACCCUCUUUGGACUAAAUAAACUCCCAGUAUUCUUGACCAACAGAGGUAGGGUUGGAACAGAACCUCAAAAGUCAUCAUUAGACUUCCUACUAAUAGGGCAUUGGAAGUUCAAGCGACUAACUAGGAAACAGGUUAGUAUUUGUACCCCUACACUGUGCAACAGAUUACAUACCAUUUGCUCUAUUUGGCAUCCUUUCCUUAGGCUAGAUUCCCAGAAGAAAGAUUACUGAUUCGAAGGGCAUGAACAUUUUUAUGACUCUUGGCCUAAAUUACUAGGCCAAGGUUUUUUCAAAGGGAUGCACUAAUUUUCACUAUUUCCCCACACCCUUUCAGGUGAUAAAUAAUUGACUUGAUUUGUUUACACUGACGCCAAGAAUUCUUGGGAAGAAGGAUCAAAGUGAAAAGUGGUAGCCCAUGGUGGGGAGGCCACACUCAGUGCAGUUGUGAAGUCAGCAGCAUUUUUAAGCCCAUUCAUUGCCAGUAGCCCUGAGAUGAGCAUUCCCAAGCUGCUUCCCAGGUCCCUCCUCCACUCUCUCAGGGACAUCCAUUCUGUACCAGCCCCCUCAGAUACUCAUGCCCUUGCCCUCCCUUCUCCAUGCUCAUUAAAACCAGCUUAAGAGCAGAUAUGACAUCAGUCACUUACCUUUUCGUGUGGCUCUAAAUCAAAGUGUCACCUCUCCCAAGCACAUGCUUGCAUCUUAGCUCUGAUUGAGGAAUGAAAAGCUUUGUUCUCUGUUAAAAGAACUUUGAGCUUAGAUGCCCCAGACUGAGAAAUCCACCAAAAGCUGGACCUUUGACUUGAGCGGCAAAGGACCCCCAUAGUCAGGCUGUGAUUUGAGGAGCAUCAAGAGGCCAGAGUUUCCAAGUUGGGACCCAGAAGGUGGGGUUGGCAGGGGGAGGGUAGGAGCAGCUGGAGACUCUGCUCUACCAGGGGAAUACGGAGGUGGGGACCAAUCCCAGGGUAAGGAAUGAAAGUAGGAGCCCCAGAAGCUGAAAACAUACUUCACCGAUGUCAGCAUUUUACCCAGAGCCAUUCCAAGGUGACCAUAACUCACUUAAAAGCCUGAAAGCUGUUUUAUGCCAACUAAUAA
ensembl:lncRNA CYP1B1-AS1 CYP1B1 antisense RNA 1